AACGAACGCUGGCGGCAUGCCUAACACAUGCAAGUCGAACGAGAGAAGCGGGUCUAGUGGCGCACGGGGGCGUAGCGGGGGGGAACCUGCCCUUAGGUUCGGAAUAACUCGCCGAAAGGGGUGCGAAUACGGGAGAAAAUACUCGGACCGUAGAGAUAUCGCAUUUGGGGGGGCCCGCGUUGGAUUAACUAGUUGGUAGGGUAAAAGCCUACCGAGGCGACGAUCCAUAGCUGGACAGGGAGGAGGAUCAACACCACUGGGACUGGGACACGGCCCGGAAUCCUACGGAGGGAGGAGUGGCUGAUCUUGGCCAGUCGGCGGAGUCCUGAACCUGUACUGCCGCGUGAGUAAUGUAGGCCUUAGGGUUGUAAAGUUCUUUUACCCCUGAUGAUAAUGACAUUACCGUCAGAAUAAGCUCCGGCUAACUCCGUG
rnacentral:rRNA from 1 species